rnacentral:rRNA from 1 species
CAGUAGCCACGGUAAUACGAAGGGUGCAAGCGUUAAUCGGAAUUACUGGGCGUAAAGCGUGCGUAGGCGGUGAGUUAAGUCUGCUGUGAAAUCCCCGGGCUCAACCUGGGAAUGGCAGUGGAUACUGGCUCGCUAGAGUGUGUCAGAGGAUGGUGGAAUUCCCGGUGUAGCGGUGAAAUGCGUAGAGAUCGGGAGGAACAUCAGUGGCGAAGGCGGCCAUCUGGGACAACACUGACGCUGAGGCACGAAAGCGUGGGGAGCAAACAGGAUUAGAUACCCGGGUAGUCCCUGUCUCUUAUAC